rnacentral:misc_RNA from 1 species
UCCGGCUUAACGACCGGCAGUCUUGCUAGAGUGCCCAGCCGAACUGCUGGCAACUAACAACAGGGGUUGCGCUCGUUGGAGGACUUAACCCGACAUCUCACGACACGAGCUGACGACGACCAUGCAGCACCUGUCACUCAGCUCCCUUGCGGGCACCACCCUGUUUCCAGGGUGUUCUAAGGAUGUCAAGUCCUGGUGAGGUUCUUCGCUUAGUGUCGAAUUAAACCACAUGCUCCACCGCUUGUGUGGAUCCCCGUCAAUUCCUUUAUGUUUUAGCCUUGCGGCCGUACUUCACAGGCGGAGUACUUAACGCGUUAGCUUAGGCGCGUACGGGGUCGAGACCGCACACACCGAGUACUCAUCGUUUAAGGCGUGGACUAC